rnacentral:rRNA from 1 species
GACGAACGCUGGCGGCGUGCUUAACACAUGCAAGUCGAACGGAAAGGCCCUGCUCUUGUGGGUUGCUCGAGUGGCGAACGGGUGUGUAACACGUGAGUAACCUGCCCUUGACUGUGGGAUAACUUCAGGAAACUCGGGCUAAUACCGGAUAGGAGCUCCUGCUGCAUGGUGGGGGUUGGAAAGUUUCGGCGGUUGGGGAUGGACUCGCGGCUUAUCAGCUUGUUGGUGGGGUAGUGGCUUACCAAGGCUUUGACGGGUAGCCGGCCUGAGAGGGUGACCGGCCACAUUGGGACUGAGAUACGGCCCAGACUCCUACGGGAGGCAGCAGUGGGGAAUAUUGCACAAUGGGCGGAAGCGUGAUGCAGCAACGCCGCGUGCGGGAUGACGGCCUUCGGGUUGUAAACCGCUUUCGCCUGUGACGAAGCGUGAGUGACGGUAAUGGGUAAAGAAGCACCGGCUAACUACGUG